rnacentral:rRNA from 1 species
GUAUCGCAUGAUAUAGCAAUUAAAGGAGCAAUUCGCUAUAAGAUGGACCCGCGUCGCAUUAGCUAGUUGGUGAGGUAAUGGCUCACCAAGGCGACGAUGCGUAGCCGACCUGAGAGGGUGAUCGGCCACAUUGGGACUGAGACACGGCCCAGACUCCUACGGGAGGCAGCAUG